rnacentral:rRNA from 1 species
UGGGGAAUUUUGGACGAAUUGGGCGAAAGCCUGAUCCAGCAAUGCCGCGUGUGUGAAGAAGGCCUUCGGGUUGUAAAGCACUUUUGUCCGGAAAGAAAUCCUUGGCUCUAAUACAGUCGGGGGAUGACGGUACCGGAAGAAUAAGCACCGGCUAACUACGUGCCAGCAGCCGCGGUAAUACGUAGGGUGCAAGCGUUAAUCGGAAUUACUGGGCGUAAAGCGUGCGCAGGCGGUUUGCUAAGACCGAUGUGAAAUCCCCGGGCUCAACUGGGAACUGCAUUGGUGACUGGCAGGCUAGAGUAUGGCAGAGGGGGGUAGAAUUCCACGUGUAGCAGUGAAAUGCGUAGAGAUGUGGAGGAAUACCGAUGGCGAAGGCAGCCCCUGGCAAGUACUGACGCUCAUGCACGAAAGCGUGGGGAGCAAACNGGAUUAAUNCCCUGGUAGUCCACGCCCUAAAANGAUG